rnacentral:rRNA from 1 species
UGGGGAAUAUUGCACAAUGGGCGCAAGCCUGAUGCAGCCAUGCCGCGUGUAUGAAGAAGGCCUUCGGGUUGUAAAGUACUUUCAGCGGGGAGGAAGGGAGUAAAGUUAAUACCUUUGCUCAUUGACGUUACCCGCAGAAGAAGCACCGGCUAACUCCGUGCCAGCAGCCGCGGUAAUACGGAGGGUGCAAGCGUUAAUCGGAAUUACUGGGCGUAAAGCGCACGCAGGCAGUUUGUUAAGUCAGAUGUGAAAUCCCCGGGCUCAACCUGGGAACUGCAUCUGAUACUGGCAAGCUUGAGUCUCGUAGAGGGGGGUAGAAUUCCAGGUGUAGCGGUGAAAUGCGUAGAGAUCUGGAGGCAUACCGGUGGCGAAGGCGGCCCCCUGGACGAAGACUGACGCUCAGGUGCGAAAGCGUGGGAAGCAAUCAGG